rnacentral:lncRNA from 1 species
AUAGGUGCAUCUUGAUCAAGGAUAUGGGUUAGUUUUUUAGAACUGAGAAUGAUUCUCAAAUUCUGGAGUCAGUCUUUGUAGUUUGUCCCGGUCAAUCUGUUUGUGUUAAGGAUACGAACUAAAGAGUUUGAACUUGAUAUGAUUAUUUUUAGAAAAAAUAGUUUCUAGUUAGAUAUUUGUACUUAUUAAAUAUUUAUUCUAGGAACUUUAGAAAUAAAUAAGGCUUUCACUAUUUUCUUGAAUCUUUUACACUCCUCAGGUGGAGAAAUAAAAAUCUAUAUGCGAUCGAUUUUAGGAGAGUACUGUGAUCCCACU